CUGAGCUCACAGGAAUGAAGAGGAAGACAUAAAUGCAUCUCCUGGGCGUUAACACAAGGCCCUGACAUCUUAUCACCUGCCAUAGUGUGUGAGAGCUCAGACUUGAUGUAGUAACAACAGCUUUGGAGCCAAAAGACUUGGUUUUGAAUUGCCAUCUCAGCAUUACCUGGCCUGAGACAAGUGACUGAGCCUCCCUAAGCCUCGGUGUCCGAGUCUAUGAGAUGAGAGAUGAUAAAGCCUACUCAUUGUGAGAAUACAACCAGUAACGGAAAAAGCUUUCAGCUCUCCUGCCAUAAAGCGGCUACUGAGAAUUCAACUGAGAUGCUCUCCUGUGAAGCAGCAGGACAGAGGGGACAGAGUGGACGUCCUCCAGGAUGGACAUCAGAAACACCUGCUCCUACCUCUGACUCAAGCUUGCCUUUUAUGUAGCAGGAGGGGCCAGUAUUGUGGUGGAGUGAAUGAAGCCACCACCUAAGACACCAGCAGCCCACGUGGGUGCUGGUUCAAGUCCUGGCUGCUCCACUUGCAAUCCAGCUCCCUGCUAGUCGCCUGGAAAAAGCAGAAGAUGGCCAAGUAUGUGGGCCCCUAUUAUCCACACGGGAGACCCAGAUGAGGCUUCUGGUUCCUGGCUUUGGCUUGGCCCAGGUCUGGCUGUAGCAGCCAUCUGAGGAGUGAACCAACGGACAGAAGGCUGAUCUCUCUCUAUGUCUCUCCAUCUCUGUAACUCUUUCAAAUAAAAUAAAUAAAUCUUUAAAAAUAUAUUACAAUUGUCAUUAAACUGCAUGAGCAAUUACCACUGAGUUGAAAAUAAUGGAGUUUGUGCAUAAAAUGGGACAGUUUGAAGGUUCACUGUAGUCAUACAAAGAAGAGAGGAGCUGGCAGAUGCUGGUUGGGAAUGUGUUGGAGGCAGUCAUCUGUGGUAAGGUAUAGUCUGCCCUCUGAACAAUUCCCCUAUU